GGAGCUCUGGCUACAGAGUGGGGAUGGCACGGAGUCCUAUUAGAAUCCUCUGUGGGGUGAGAGCUGUGGGCUCACAAGGAGAGGAGGAGACAGAGUUGGGGAAUACCAUGCUGGUGAUAAGCAUUUCCCUGUCUGCCUUGUACCACCUACUUGACGAUAUCUUGGCUCCUGCAGCUCCCUCCGUCCUGCGCCCUUUCUCUCCUGCAUUCCUGCCCAUGGAACAUCCUCCCUCCUUCCCCUCCUCCUCCUCCUGCUCCCCUUCCUCCUUCUCUUCUCUCUCCUCCCAGGAGAAGAAGCACAGAGCUACAGGCCAGAAUCUGUAUGCAGAUGCCCGUUGUAUAGGCUCGUGCCCUCUCCACAGCAGCCCUGUGAGGCACUUGGGGUCCCAGGGAGGUGGACAGUGCUACCUCGCCCCAGCACACACUGGCUUCAUGUCCCCUGUUUCCCACAGAACGAGCAACCCAGAGGCUGGAGAGGGGCGCACAGCGCCCUCCGGUAGCAGCUUCUGGCCAGCCUGUCCUUGUGUCCUGCUGUGUUUUAUCCCUGUGAUUCUGUAAGCAGUUAUUGAGCAGCCUUUGUGCGCAGUGAGGGUAAAGAAGGACGGCAGAGUGCAGGGAGCAUGGCUGACCUCGCGUCAGCCCAGGAAACGCGGGCUCCCUGCAAACCCAUGUGGUGUGCUGAGCGUCUUCAAAGGGCCAGCAGCUGGGGGGCGCGCUGCCGUGUGCGUGGGUGUGCCAAACCACGGGCUUCCUCCUGGGGGCAGAGGGCUCUCUGGUACUGCCCAGCAGUGUGGCGAGGGCCCCUGCAGCAAGGGCAUUGCAAGGAGCUAAGACGUCGAAGGCCCAAGGACGUGGGGGUGCCUCUGCCGUCCAGUGUAGCUGUCCUCUGCUCAGCAGGACCCACAUGGCCAGGCAUGUGGCGAAGAGCACACUGCCUCACACACACCGGUGGGCACACCGGAGAAUAGUGGGCUUGCUCCUGUGGGAGUGGUGAUUUCCCCAUCCUGGGGAAUUCAAGGAAAUCUGCUCACUCCGGGUAAAGUGGAGUUGGGCAUCGGGGGAGUGCUGGACUUGGGGACGUACAAAGCUCUAGGUACUGGCUUCAGUCACACUUGACCUGGGUCCUUUCGCUCUGUCCCUGUCCUCCUGGAAGCCCACCUGAACCAGGUACCUGCCCAUGGAGUAUCUGAAUGCCCCCCAAAGAUGCCAGGUACAGCUAGGCUGCAUCCAUUCACUUGUCCAUUUCCUGUCCCCACAAGUGAGCCCUAGGCUUUGUCAGGGCUGGGUGGAUCUUAGGUAUCUUCUGUAGCCGCCAUCACUCCCGGCCCAGGUGCUGUGCGUGCUCCAUGCUGCCUGAGGUGUUUUACCUUCUGUGGCCAGGAGAAGCAUGAUUUAGAUGCUUGGUGGCUGGGUGGGGUCAGAGACACAGCCAGUGGCCCCUCGAAUACCCUUGGGCUCUCCUUCCAAAAGCGGUAGCAGCCCAGCAGACAGAGGUAUGUGCUGCUGAGCCAGGUGGCCUGGAUUCAAAUCCCAACCCUGACACUUCCCACCUGGGUGGCCUUGGGUGAGUGAUUUAAUGUCCCCGUGCCUCAGUUUCCUCAACUGUAAAACAGCACAAGAAUCCCUGUCUGAAAGGACUGAGGCCAGGAUUCAGCGGGUAA
ensembl:lincRNA